UACAGAGGUCUCGAGCGUUGUUCGGAUUCAUUGGGCGUAAAGGGUGCGUAGGCGGCGCGGUAAGUCGGGUGUGAAAUCUCGGGGCUUAACUCCGAAACUGCAUUCGAUACUGCCGUGCUUGAGGACUGGAGAGGAGACUGGAAUUUACGGUGUAGCGGUGAAAUGCGUAGAUAUCGUAAGGAAGACCAGUGGCGAAGGCGGGUCUCUGGACAGUUCCUGACGCUGAGACACGAAGGCCAGGGGAGCAAACGGG
rnacentral:rRNA from 1 species